AAUUUUUCACCAGGGGGGAAACCCUGAUCCAGCCAGCCCGCGUGUAUGAUGAAGGCCUGCGGGUGGUAAGGUACUUUUGGCAGAGAUGAAAAGGUAUCUCCUAAUACGAGAUACUGCUGACGGUAUCUGCAGAAUAAGCACCGGCUAACUACGUGCCAGCAGCCGCGGUAAUACGUAGGGUGCAAGCGUUAAUCGGAAUUACUGGGCGUAAAGCGUGUGUAGGCGGUUCGGAAAGAAAGAUGUGGAAUCCCAGGGCUCGACCUUGGAAAGUCAUUGUAAACUGCCGGGCUAGAGUAUGUCAGAGGAGGGUAGAAUUCCACGUGUAGCAGUGAAAUGCGUAGAGAUGUGGAGGAAUACCAAUGGCGAAGGCAGCCCCCUGGGAUAAUACUGACGCUCAGACGCGAAAGCGUGGGGAGCAAACA
rnacentral:rRNA from 1 species